rnacentral:misc_RNA from 1 species
UGCGUCCGUACGCAGAAGCGAAAAGCAAAACAACAGACACACAGUCACCAUACACAUAAAAGCAACGUCGACGAGCCUCUCUCCCCUCUCUCCCACACGCAUUCCCUUUCGAGAGGCACCUCCUACCCCCUCCUCCCGCUCCUGGGACAACUCACCCUUCCACCUCCCCUUCCCCCGCAAGAACGGAAAACCAGAAGAAAAGACACAGCGAUACGCACGCACUAGCAACAACGACAGCAGGACUUUCCCACGUGUGGGCUGUGUCUCUCUCUCGCUCUCGUUCUCUCCCCGCCUCCCUCCUCCUCUCUGUAUCCUUGGCCCUCUCCCCUCCCUCCGUUCCCCCUUCUCCGCCCGCUCUCUUGAACGGGCUUCGCCGCGCGUCUUCCAUUGUUCCCCCACCCGAUUUGCCCCCCCCCCCCCCCCCCCCCCCCCCCCCCCCCCCCCCCCCCAUCCCCGUCCCCGCAUUUCCUUCUCCCGACUUUUGGGGCAGCUGGCCACACACCCACACCGUUCCUGUGUCUUUGCCGUUGUGCUCCUUCCCCUCCCGCGGUGUCUCGGCGUCCGCUGUCUCGCGUCCACAGCUCGUCCCCCUUCUCUUUUUUCUUUUUACGGCUUCCUGGCAGUCUCCCUGACUCACGUGUACUUUGCUUGCCAUUGCCGCGUGGACUCUCGCUCCUUCUGUCUCCCUGUCGCGUGUCCGCCGGGUGCUGUCGGCGUGCGCGUGGGCGUGUCAGCAAAGGCCUGGCCUGGGUUUCUUGGGCUAUUGCUCUUCUUCCCCGCCCCGCAAGCACCGCCCCGCCUCUCCUCCACCAGAGAACGAGACAAGAGGGCUGAAAAGAGAAGCGGGGAAGGACGCAACAAACGAGUAGUCACGAAGCGAAGAGAGGGCGUCGUAGGCUCGACCACCACACCAUCUUCCGCCUUUCUUCAGACUGACCGACCGACAGACACACACACACACAUAUACAUACAUACUAUACAUUCUUUGUGGACAAGCAAGGCUGCCGGCACCGACAGACCCUCUUGUGAGGACGUGACAAGGAGCGGUGCCGACAUUCUCAUCAUCGACGGCACGCUUUUUUUUUUUAGUAUUAUUAGCUGACUCUUCCUCCUCCUCCCUUUUUUUUUUGUCUGUUUUCUUGACGCUUUCGCUACAUCUUUUUCCGCGCCCUCCUUUUUUUUUUUCGGGCUUUGCGAUUGAAUAGACGCGUUCGCUUUCUCCUCCCCUCCGGUCCCCCACCUUCCUGCCGUCGCUCCCCAGCAAGCGGCACGUACGCACACACAGCCGAACCCACGGGCUCUCUUUCUCCCCCCCUCUCUCUCUCUCUGUGGGUGUCUGUGGGCGUGGGUGUCUCUGGGUUACAGCCGGUGCACACUCCUUCUGGCAUAAGAGGCGUGCAACGAAAGAGAAUGAGCUCUCAUCAGGCGGUCACAGCGUCUCUGGGGAGCGGUGGGUACAACGCGAGCAAGCGCUCUGCUCGAAACAUGUUACCAGCGAGCACCACCUCAGUGACUCCCUCGUCUAACGCUGCCCCUGCAAUGACUUCUACUGGUACUGAUGCCCUCAUUAUCAAGGGGAGCGGUGCAGCUGUCAACCAAGCGCCGACCAUCGCCCGACCCUCGUACACCGAUGGUGCUGCCACAAACGGCACCAGUCGCUACCGCCACAGCAGCGGGGUUGGGAACAACGCUAACACUGCUAACGGCAGCGGCAAUGAGCCGAAGAUCAACACAGGCAGCAGCACCUCCGGCACUGCUGCGGCGACCACGGAGUCCGUCAUUGAGGAGCUCAAGGCCCUCGCCAAGUCGAUGCUGGAGGCGACGAACGCGGCGCGGCGCCGCACGAGCUCGAUCGAGCAGCGAAACUCGUACGAGGCUCUCAUGCACGCCAUUGAAAACCGCGUGAACGGCGAUACAGUGAACAUUACUAGUAUUGAGAGCAAAGACGCGGCCGCUUCCACCGGCGGCUACGCAGCGGCACCCGCGACGGCGACCGCCGCCCCCAAGCACGUCGAUCCCAUGGCGACGAACGGCAUUUCCCAGUCGGAGAUGCUCUCGGCACAUCUCACGGAGCAGCUGACCGACAUUCCAGCCGCGCUGUCGCCCGGGAGCUGCGUGAGGCAGCAGUCGCAGCAACUCCCGCCGGCUCAGCGAAAAAAAUAUGGAAAGGAGGAAGUUCCGACGGUUGCAGCAGCGGAGACGGACGCCGCUGCGCGCAACACGCAGCAGCCUGCGGUGCCUUCACAGCAGCAGCAGCAGCAAUGCCAGCGUGCGGAUAUGAAGCACCACGCGGAUGUGGCAGACGUGGGCUCAGAGGACGACGACGAUGACGGGGGUGCGGCCCAGGGCGACGGUGAGCAAGCGCUGUCUUUGGCAGCGUUGCACUCGCAGCCGCCAAUAACGCGCCGCCAUGCGCCCACUGCGAUGCUCGAGGCAGAUGAGGACGAGGAUGAUGAUGACGGCACUGCCUACGACGGGGUCAAGACCCAGGUACUCUUCAAGCCAGUCAACCGCGCCGCUUACCGCGAGGUGGUGGCGUCGACGUGGAAGCCAGAGGGCCUGACGCGCCGCACCAACACCGCCGGCAGUGGCAGCCAGCAGAACCGGAAUAGCAACAGCAGCAGCAGUGCGAGUGAGUACAAGGACAGCCCUCAUCAUCCAAACUCGUCUGACGACGAUGAUGAGGCGAUCGCGACGAUGGCGACUCGCAACAAGACAGGCAGGGCGGCUGCUCGGACAGCGCCGUCUACGAAAGUGUUUCGCGUUCCCUCGUUCCCGUAUGGCGGUGGUGUGACGGAGCAGCAGGCGCGGAUCCUGCAGCGGCAGUUUGACGAGUGCAUCCACAACGGCGAGCACCUCAGCUCCAACGCCGCCGGACCUGCCCUCAUCACGAAGCGCGACUUUGACUCGGGCAACUACACCGAGGUCUCUGCAGCCACUGCGCAGAUGGAUACAACCUCCUUCCAGCCGACGUCUCCGUACGAGUUUGUCGUCGAGGUGGAGCGCGACGUCCGCUUCGACGCUGUCAAGGCCCGUGAAGAGCGUCGCCAUCGCUUCCGGCAGCUCGUGCGCGAGAAGCGUGCGCCGGCCACGAUGGGGACUUUCAACCUGCGCGUCAUCAUGGACCCGUUCAAGACAGGCUUUGAGGAGGAGAAGAACUUCCCAAUCGUGCCUGGAACCGUUAUUGCCGGCCGCUACGAGAUCAUUCAAAUGCUGGGCAAGGCCACCUUCAGCCGUGCGGUGCGCUGCUACGACCUACAGGAUCCAAUCUACAACGAGGACGAGGAGAGCGACGAGGGCGAGUACGAAGACGACGUCGACGACGACGAUGCGAACAGUGCCACUGCCUCGCCGGCAGAUGGGACCGAGAACGUGGCUUGCAUCGGCAAGGGAGGUGUGACUACUGCCUCUUGCAGGGGGUCAGACACCGCUACCACCGCCAGCGCUAGCAAGCAGCAAGUCAAGUCUGUCAACACAGCGACGAAGUCACGACUCAAGCCCAAGCGCAGGAUUUUGGGGUAUGGCCAAGUUUGCCUGAAGAUCAUCAACAACACAAAGGACUUUUUUGACCAAUCGCUUGAUGAAAUACGGCUGUUGACGCUGCUGAACCGCCAGAAAGACCCUGAUGAUGCGCAUAUCGUGCGGCUCAUCGACGCCUUCUACUACAAGGAGCAUGUCAUGCUCGUGACGGAACUGCUGCGCGACACCUUGUACGACUACGGCAAGUACAACCGGGAGGAGGAGAAAGAGUUCUACUUUACCCUUCCUCGCCUGCGCCGACUGACGCGGCAAAUUGUCGAGGCGCUGACGUACGUGCACUCCCUCAACCUCAUACAUACCGAUCUCAAGCCUGAGAACAUCAUGUUUGUCUCCUACAGCCGCUGCAUCGUCAAGGUGAUCGACUUUGGCAGCAGCUGCUUCCUCAGCGACCACCUCAGCUCCUACAUCCAGAGCCGCAGCUACCGGGCUCCAGAGGUGGUGCUGGGCUGCGACUACGACGGCCGCAUUGACGUAUGGUCACUUGGUGCGAUUUUGGUAGAGAUGGUCACAGGCGACGUGCUUUUCACCUCGGACACCGUGCCAGAGAUGCUGGCGCGCAUCGUGUACGUUUGCGGCACGCCGUUCCCGCGGCGCAUGCUAUGGGAAGGCCGUCACACAAGCGACUACAUCAACAAGUUCGGGUGUAUCUAUGAGUACGGCGGCGGUGCAGAUGGGCAGCAUGACCGCCCCGAGAAGGGCGACACCGACGACGGGGAGGAGCCGUACUGCCUUUACACGCCGGUCCCGACCAUGGCGCCGCACACUUGCGCAUCUUCGAGAAAGUCGCGGGCGGCAGCGGCGGUGCCACCACCACCACGGACGACGACGGCCCCAUACAGCGUCUUGCGCGAGAAGCUGGCCGCUGCGAACAUGGUGGAUGAGGAGUUCAUUGCGUUUGUGGAGGCGUGCUUGAUGCUCGACCACAAGAAGCGGCCGACAAGCGCGGAGCUGCUGGAGCACCCCUUCAUCAGGGAUGUGGUGCUGUGAGUGAGGGAGGGGGCACCAGAAGAACGAGGGAUGAGAAGGAGAGUGCUGAAGGUCUUAACUGUGCUAUCUUUCCGCUUGCUGAUUUCUGUUUUGCUUUCUAUUUGUUCGUUGGCCCAUGUAAGUCAUGUGCUGAUGCUUGCCUCUUUCUGUGGGGUUGUUUCCUCCACGCGUGGGGGUGCUGGUGCCCGUCUGUAUCCCUGUACAGCCCAUCCUUGAACUCCCCCGCCUCGGUAUUCUCUGCACGCAUGCGCAUCACGGAGGACAAGUGAAGCGAAGGAGCGAGCAUGAAGGCCCACGUGACCUUUUCGAUUGUUUUGCUGUCUCAACGCUGCUUGUGGCCAUGAUGUGCUCGCCCUCGGCGUGCGUAUGUUACGUUGCUGUCGAUGCUUCUCGUUUCCCUUCCCUACGGUGUUGCGUGUGCGUUGUGGGCAUCACCCUCCCCUUCCGCCACCUUCUCGACAACUCGGAUUUUUUUUUCUUCGCCUGGCUGUGGGUGGGAGGAGUGGAGGGAAAGAAGGAAGGGAUGGCGGGCGGGCCAUUUUCGAUAGGGGAAAGGGUGGUCGACGCAGGCUGUGUUGCAACGAACAAUACUCGGUUCACUAUCGCCAACUGAACGGGGCCAUGCCACCACCUCUUCCCACCCCACCCCCUCCUCCUCCUCCUCCUCCUCUGUCUCUCGCUGCUCCGUGCGAUGCCGCUCAGUUUUUUUUUCUCGUUGCUUUCUUGCUCUCUGGUUUGUGGCUCUUUUCCCUGUCCAUUGGUGCGUGUGCUGCACCACCGUCUCCUCUGUCUCUUCCCUCCUCUGCCUCCUUGCGUUCUUCCCUCUCUAUAGUUUCUUUGCGUUGCUUCCAAGUGGCAGCGGCGGCCAUGGCGCUCGCCCUCCUUGUCCGUCUCCUCUUUCCUACACCCGACCUGACCCGCCGUCUCAUAGCUUCCUCCUGCGCCUCUCUCCGUUUUGUUUUUUGUUUUGUCUCUCCGUUGGGCUGGCGAGGCGCAGAGAUGUGACCAGGAGAGCACGCUGCCCCAGCGACAUGUCUUUACGUGUACACCUCCGCCGUCUUCUCACACAUGUUUUUUUUUUUUCUCCUCCUGUAGCUUCUGUUCUUUUUUUUCCUUUUCGCUUGUUUGCUUCGCAUGGGAGCUGGUGCGCACAUAACGGGUGUGUGCCCUGCGCGUGUGUGCGCGUAUCUUCUGCCAUUCGUCUGGCCUUCUCUAGCCUCCUCCUCGGUUUCUCUCCCCCACCCCCACGUCCCUACCCUUGGCUGUUGCUCGCGUUGUCCCUGUGUCGCGGUUCGCCUCAUGCCGUUCUCUCCCCCAUGCCAAGGCGGCAGAGUGUGCGCGUGUGUGCGUUUUGUUUCUUGGAUUUGUGUGCGGAGAUGUCUGCCGCUGUUGUUGUACAGGUCGCUGUGGAUGAUAGGGAUGCGUGCGUGAUGGUCAGGGUCGGUCGAAUGCUGCGUAUGCGUGUGUUGAAGGCUACUCUUUUGGAUAGCGAGGUUGCGUCGAGGGCAUCCGGAGUGCCGUUGAUUUUUUUUUCUUUUUUGCCUCUUAUUCCUCCCACUCUCCCACUCUCACUCUGCGCCUGUGCACGGACGGGUUCGCGUUCCGAUCUGUACGAUUCUUUCUCAAUAGAAGGUAAAGGAUUGAGCAGCGACACAUAAAGUAAGAGGAUCAUCAAGGAAGCUGUCCAUUAGCGGCAUGUGCGUGGCUGUUCAUCGUACGAGGCGAGGUGCGGUACACGCGUCGUGGGUGAGCGUUGCCCGAUGCGCUGCGUGCAUAUGUAUGUGUGACGACUGGUCUGCAUGUAUGUCUCGCGAGUCGUCUACGUUGCUCGCCCCGUUUUUUUUUUCAGAUACGACACACCUCUCUGGAUGCGGAACGACGCCGUGUGCAGGCCCACACAUGCCCCCAAAACGCAAGCAUCAGAAUGUUAUCGUCAGUGCCUUUGGCCGCCUCUCAUCUCGCACGCGUUCAUGAGCUCUUUUACGUUGCUCGGUU